rnacentral:rRNA from 1 species
GGGUUGUGAGGUUAAGCGACUAAGCGUACACGGUGGAUGCCCUGGCAGUCAGAGGCGAUGAAGGACGUGCUAAUCUGCGAUAAGCGUCGGUGAGGUGAUAUGAACCGUUAUAACCGGCGAUUUCCGAAUGGGGAAACCCAGUGUGUUUCGACACACUAUCAUUAACUGAAUCCAUAGGUUAAUGAGGCGAACCGGGGGAACUGAAACAUCUAAGUACCCCGAGGAAAAGAAAUCAACCGAGAUUCCCCCAGUAGCGGCGAGCGAACGGGGAGGAGCCCAGAGCCUGAAUCAGUGUGUGUGUUAGUGGAAGCGUCUGGAAAGGCGCGCGAUACAGGGUGACAGCCCCGUACACAAAAAUGCACAUAUUGUGAGCUCGAUGAGUAGGGCGGGACACGUGGUAUCCUGUCUGAAUAUGGGGGGACCAUCCUCCAAGGCUAAAUACUCCUGACUGACCGAUAGUGAACCAGUACCGUGAGGGAAAGGCGAAAAGAACCCCGGCGAGGGGAGUGAAAAAGAACCUGAAACCGUGUACGUACAAGCAGUGGGAGCCUCUUAAUGGGGUGACUGCGUACCUUUUGUAUAAUGGGUCAGCGACUUAUAUUCUGUAGCAAGGUUAACCGAAUAGGGGAGCCGAAGGGAAACCGAGUCUUAACUGGGCGUUAAGUUGCAGGGUAUAGACCCGAAACCCGGUGAUCUAGCCAUGGGCAGGUUGAAGGUUGGGUAACACUAACUGGAGGACCGAACCGACUAAUGUUGAAAAAUUAGCGGAUGACUUGUGGCUGGGGGUGAAAGGCCAAUCAAACCGGGAGAUAGCUGGUUCUCCCCGAAAGCUAUUUAGGUAGCGCCUCGUGAAUUCAUCUCCGGGGGUAGAGCACUGUUUCGGCAAGGGGGUCAUCCCGACUUACCAACCCGAUGCAAACUGCGAAUACCGGAGAAUGUUAUCACGGGAGACACACGGCGGGUGCUAACGUCCGUCGUGAAGAGGGAAACAACCCAGACCGCCAGCUAAGGUCCCAAAGUCAUGGUUAAGUGGGAAACGAUGUGGGAAGGCCCAGACAGCCAGGAUGUUGGCUUAGAAGCAGCCAUCAUUUAAAGAAAGCGUAAUAGCUCACUGGUCGAGUCGGCCUGCGCGGAAGAUGUAACGGGGCUAAACCAUGCACCGAAGCUGCGGCAGCGACACUAUGUGUUGUUGGGUAGGGGAGCGUUCUGUAAGCCUGUGAAGGUGUACUGUGAGGUAUGCUGGAGGUAUCAGAAGUGCGAAUG